CACUGCAGAGGACCUUCAAGUUAUAUUUGCACUGAGCUCUAACAAGAGCAAAUGUCAGGAUCAAGAACAACCGGUAGUGUACGCUGGUAUGCUCACAUUUAAAUACCUGAGGAAAAUGAAUAGAUCAGCAGCAAGAAUUAUGAAAAGCCUGUAGUGUAUGCCACAACUAUAAAUACUUUUUUUUCACCUAAAAAUAUCACAAAGGAGACAAAUAAAAACAGAGCUGGCAAUAUAAAUGCAGACCAAUGCAGAACGCAACAGGUAAAUAUUUCCAAAGACAAGCAAAUAUUUCUCUAUACCUACACAAUUUU
rnacentral:lncRNA from 1 species